GAUGAACGCUGGCGGCGUGCCUAAUACAUGCGAGUCGAGCGAACAGACGAGGAGCUUGCUCCUCUGACGUUAGCGGCGGACGGGUGAGUAACACGUGGAUAACCUACCUAUAAGACUGGGAUAACUUCGGGAAACCGGAGCUAAUACCGGAUAAUAUAUUGAACCGCAUGGUUCAAUAGUGAAAGACGGUUUUGCUGUCACUUAUAGAUGGAUCCGCGCCGCAUUAGCUAGUUGGUAAGGUAACGGCUUACCAAGGCAACGAUGCGUAGCCGACCUGAGAGGGUGAUCGGCCACACUGGAACUGAGACACGGUCCAGACUCCUACGGGAGGCAGCAGUAGGGAAUCUUCCGCAAUGGGCGAAAGCCUGACGGGGCAACGCCGCGUGAGUGAUGAAGGUCUUCGGAUCGUAAAACUCUGUUAUUAGGGAAGAACAAAUGUGUAAGUAACUAUGCACGUCUUGACGGUACCUAAUCAGAAAGCCACGGCUAACUACGUG
rnacentral:rRNA from 1 species